rnacentral:SRP_RNA from 1 species
GCUGGGCAUGGUGGCGGGCGCCUGUAAUCCCAGCUACCUGGUAGGCUGAGGCAGGAGAAUCGCUUGAACCUGGGAGGCGGAGGGUGCAGUGAGCCAAGAUUGUGCCACUGCACUCCCACCUGGGUGACAGAGCAAGACUCUGUCUCUA